CGGCAACAGCUCAAAUUUGAAAUCUGGCCUCUUUCGGGGUCCGAGUUGUAAUUUGUAGAGGAUGUUUUGGGUACCGCGCUGGUUUAAAUUUCUUGGAACAGGACGUCAUAGAGGGUGAGAAUCCCGUACGUGACUGGCUGCCUUCGCCUAUGUGAAGCUCUUUCGAC
rnacentral:rRNA from 1 species